GACGAACGCUGGCGGCGUGCUUAACACAUGCAAGUCGAACGGUGAAGCGCCUCUCUUUUUGGUGGGUGUGGAUGAGUGGCGAACGGGUGAGUAACACGUGAGUAACCUGCCCCCUUCUUCUGGAUAACCGCAUGAAAGUGUGGCUAAUACGGGAUAUUCUGGGUCUGUCGCAUGAUGGGUCUGGGACAGCUAUUGUGUCGGUGGGGGAUGGGCUCGCGCCCUAUCAGCUUGUUGGUGCGGUGACGGCCUACGAAGGCUGUGAGGGGUAGCCGGCCUGGGAGGGUAGGCGGUCACACAGGGAGAGCGACACGACCGAGACUGAGACGGGAGGCAGCAGGGAAGAGUAUGGAACAGGGGGCAGAAGGGUGCAGCAGCGACGCCGCGGGAGGGAUGGAGGCCUUCGGGUUGUGAACCUCUUUGGGGAGUGAAGCAGGCCUGCCUGGUUUGUGGGUGGGUUGACGGUAGCUGGAUAAGAAGCACCGGCUAACUACGUG
rnacentral:rRNA from 1 species